GUCCAGACUCCUACGGGAGGCAGCAGUGGGGAAUAUUGCACAAUGGGGGAAACCCUGAUGCAGCGACGCCGCGUGAGUGAAGAAGUAUUUCGGUACGUAAAGCUCUAUUAGCAGGGAAGAAAGAAAGUCCUUUGGACUUUGGACGGUACCUGACCAAGAAGCCCCGGCUAACUACGUGCCAGCAGCCGCGGUAAUACGUAGGGGGCAAGCGUUAUCCGGAUUUACUGGGUGUAAAGGGAGCGUAGACGGCAGCGCAAGUCUGAAGUGAAAGCCCGGGGCUCAACCGCGGGACUGCUUUGGAAACUGUUAAGCUGGAGUGCAGGAGAGGUAAGUGGAAUUCCUAGGGUAGCGGUGAAAUG
rnacentral:rRNA from 1 species